GUCCAACCUCCCACCCGUGUUUAUUGUACCUUGUUGCUUCGGUGCGCCCGCCUCACGGCCGCCGGGGGGCUUCUGCCCCCGGGUCCGCGCGCACCGGAGACACUAUUGAACUCUGUCUGAAGAUUGCAGUCUGAGCAUAAACUAAAUAAGUUAAAACUUUCAACAACGGAUCUCUUGGUUCCGGCAUCGAUGAAGAACGCAGCGAAAUGCGAUAACUAAUGUGAAUUGCAGAAUUCAGUGAAUCAUCGAGUCUUUGAACGCACAUUGCGCCCCCUGGUAUUCCGGGGGGCAUGCCUGUCCGAGCGUCAUUGCUGCCCUCAAGCACGGCUUGUGUGUUGGGCUCCGUCCCCCCGGGGACGGGUCCGAAAGGCAGCGGCGGCACCGAGUCCGGUCCUCGAGCGUAUGGGGCUUUGUCACCCGCUCUGUAGGCCCGGCCGGCGCCAGCCGACAACCAAUCAUCCUUUUUUCAGGUUGACCUCGGAUCAGGUAGGGAUACCCGCUGAACUUAAGCAUAUCAAUAAUUGGAGAA
rnacentral:rRNA from 1 species